rnacentral:tRNA from 2 species
GCGGGGGUUGCCGAGAGGAAAAGGCGCGGGGUUUAGGUCCCCGUUCCGUAGGGAUCCGUGGGUUCAAAUCCCACCUCCCGCAC